rnacentral:rRNA from 1 species
GACGAACCGUGCGAACGUUGUUCGGAAUCACUGGGCUUAAAGGGCGCGUAGGCGGGCUGCCAAGUCGGGGGUGAAAUCUUUCGGCCCAACCGGAAAAGGGCCUCCGAUACUGGCAGCCUCGAGGGGGGUAGGGGUCGGCGGAACUUCCGGUGGAGCGGUGAAAUGCGUAGAUAUCCGGAGGAACACCAGGGGCGAAGGCGGUCAACUGGUCGAGUUCUGACACUGAGGCGCGACGGCGUGGGGAGCAAACCGG